rnacentral:rRNA from 1 species
UACGUAGGGGGCAAGCGUUGUCCGGAAUCAUUGGGCGUAAAGAGCGUGUAGGCGGCCAGAAAAGUCCGCUGUGAAAACUCGAGGCUCAACUUCGAGCUGUCGGUGGAAACUUUCUGGCUAGAGUCCGGAAGAGGAGAAUGGAAUUCCUGGUGUAGCGGUGAAAUGCGCAGAUAUCAGGAAGAACACCCGUGGCGAAGGCGGUUCUCUGGGACGGUACUGACGCUGAGGCGCGAAAGCGUGGGGAGCGAACAGG